rnacentral:rRNA from 1 species
CCUACGGGCGGCAGCAGUGGGGAAUAUUGGACAAUGGGGGAAACCCUGAUCCAGCGACGCCGCGUGAGUGAAGACGUAUUUCGGUACGUAAAGCUCUAUCAGCAGGAAAGAAAAUGACGGUACCUGACUAAGAAGCCCCGGCUAACUACGUGCCAGCAUCGGCGGUAAUACGGAGGGGGCCAGCGUUAUACGGAUUUACUGGGUGUAAAGGGGGGGUAGACGGGAGGGCAAGGCUGGAGUGAAAUGCCGGGGUCUAAACCCGGAACCGCUGUUGAAACUGUGAAGCUUGAGUGCAGGAGGGGUAAGCGGAAUGCGUGGUGUAGCGGUGAAAUGCGUAGAUAUCAGGAGGAACACCGGCGGCGAAGGCGGCUUACUGGACUGUAACUGACGUUGAUGCUCGAAAGCGUGGGGAUCAAACAGGAUUAGAUACCCUAGUAGUC